rnacentral:rRNA from 1 species
CCAGCAGCUGCGGUAAUUCCAGCUCUAAUAGCGUAUAUUAAAGUUGUUGCAGUUAAAAAGCUCGUAGUCGGAAGUCGGGCUCGGGCAGGCUGUCGGCCUCGGUUGGGCAGCUUGCUUGGGUCUUCUAGCUCGGGGGCCCCGUGCCAUUUAACCGUGGUGCGCGGGAACACGGGCCGUUUACUUUGAAAAAAUUAGAGUGUUCAAAGCAGGCCUACGCUUGAAUACAUUAGCAUGGAAUAAUGGAAUAGGACUUUGGUUCUAUUUUGUUGGUUUCUAGGACCAAAGUAAUGAUGAAUAGGGAUAGUUGGGGGCAUUAGUAUUGAGCUGUCAGAGGUGAAAUUCUUGGAUUUGCUCAAGACUAACAACUGCGAAAGCAUUUGCCAAGGAUGUUUUCAUUGAUCAAGAACGAAAGU